rnacentral:rRNA from 1 species
CACGUAGGGCGCAAGCGUUGUCCGGAAUUAUUGGGCGUAAAGAGCUCGUAGGCGGACUGUCACGUCCGCUGUGAAAAGCUAGGGCUUAACCCUGGCCUUGCAGUGGAUACGGGCAGACUAGAGGUAGGUAGGGGAGAAUGGAAUUCCCGGUGUAGCGGUGAAAUGCGCAGAUAUCAGGAGGAACACCGGUGGCGAAGGCGGUUCUCUGGGCAUGUUCUGACGCUGAGGAGCGAAAGUGUGGGGAGCGAACAGG